rnacentral:rRNA from 1 species
UACGGAGGGUGCAAGCGUUGUCCGGAAUCACUGGACGUAAAGGGCGCGUAGGCGGCUCGGUAAGUAGGGGGUGAAAUCCUGCGGCUUAACCGCAGGGCUGCCUUCUAAACUGUCGAGCUCGAGCACGGUAGAGGCAGAUGGAAUUCCCGGUGUAGCGGUGGAAUGCGUAGAGAUCGGGAAGAACAUCAGUGGCGAAGGCGGUCUGCUGGGCCGUUGCUGACGCUGAGGCGCGACAGCGUGGGGAGCAAACAGG